UCCCAAAGUGGUUCUCGUUUAAUGGC
rnacentral:piRNA from 2 species